GUUUAGCCUUAGGUCAGCAUUUGAGAAACGAGACACACUUGCGGUCUUUUGACCUAGGUCAGUAGGGUAAAUGCUUCCCAUGGAGGGCAGUGAAUUUCAUGGAUGUUUUCCUAGGAAGCAAAGCAAUGAAUGAAGCCAGUGUUGUUCUCCAAGCAGUGGUGGAGGUAAGUCAGAGACUUGGGUUGGUGGACUCUUCCCUCUAGGCUAAGCUGUCUCUUCAGCUGAGUGGGUUUCGUUCCAGCAGGAUGGUGUGGCACUGACCACAUAGUCACAGAUUGCAGAGAGCGGAGGGAUCUCUUAGUUCCGCUGCCAGCACGUUGUGCUAAAGCCUUUUUAUUUGAAAGUGAGGUGAUUCUCUUCCUUUACCCUUUGGUAUAUGUUUGGGAGUUGAAAGAAAAAAAAAAAACAAUGCCACUGUGACAGGACCUGCUAGAUGUUUCCAAGUCACUAAUCACUUUCCUUCACGGACGCACACUAGGCUCAUUUCCCUGUGUAGUAGUCACUGCUCCCCACUGCUGGGACUGACCACUGCCGCCCUGCUUACAGGACGGUUUCAUUGUUCAGUUUCAAAGGUUUCAGUCCCUGGUCAGCUGGCUCCAAACAAGAACUUCAUCAUGCAGGAAGCAGAGCACAGUGAAGGGGAGCACCAGGAAGUGACACCUUUCAGUGAUCUCCCUCCCUCAAGCAGCCACCUCCCGGUAGCACAUCCUGCUAUGAACACCAGGGAAUUAAUCCACUGAUGACUGCAGUGCCCCCGAUCCGAUCACUCUGCAGCCGAGGUGACAGUUCAGAUUAACUGGCUCACUCAACUUGACUUGCAGUUCAAGGUAGCUCUGACUGAGUUCUUGCUCAUGAAAGAAAUGCUGUAAGUGACAUUUUUCUGGUCUUGAAACAUUGUCCACUUUGAUUCAGCUGGGAGAUCAAUGUCCAUUGUGUCCUUGGCCCUUAAAUAUUGAAGAUGGCGAAACCUUAUGUUACCUUGGGUGUCUAAAUGACUGUGUGAGAAGAACAACCCUACUGAGCUGGUCACCCGCUCAGCAGGAAACAAAGUCCUAUUGCAUUUGAAGCAGGAUACACACUGGCAGUCUCAGUAUUUUGGAAGACUGUAUCACUCUAAUCAGUUUACUCAGCAAACAAAAUUUGGCCCAUAUCACCAUCCCUUCCCCUGUUUUUUUAAAACUUUAUUUCAACAUAACUAUGCUUACAGAAAUAGACUCAUACAGGUUAAAAGAAUACAAUUUAAUUUAUCCUAUACUAUUUCUACCAAAAAGUUCAUACCCCCUUUAAAACAUCUUUAGAUUCUUAAAAAGCUUAUAAGUACAUGAAUAUUUAGACAUAUGCAAUAGGUAUAUAUUACACACCAGAUCUUUAUACACAUAUAUAAUACACCUGUGUAAGUGGUCCAAGCACCCAAGUUAGGGUACAAGAUGUUCAAUAGUCAGGCAAUUAUUUAUUUUGCAAAAAACCACAUUGGUUAAUGGAAGGUGGAGGGAUGGCUAUGGAUCAGAAAAUGUACUCAUAUUUUUCCUUUUUCUAAGCAACCUGUUUGCUUACAUUAAAAUAUUUGAGAGAUUAACUUCAAAAUUGCAUCUUUUAAGAUGAAAGUGGUGGGUGAAAGGCUGAGUCCUCUCAGACUGAGGAAAGCUCUAUGGAGGCUUCCCAGGCCCCUGAGGGCAUUCACAGCACGUUACGGAACACCUAUGUUCAGCGGUGUGGAUCGGGUGAACUCUAAAGUUUCUCUUGGAUAUAAUGCAAUCUCAUCUUUGUGGAAAAUGUAACGUUUUCCCAUUUCUUGUUUCUAACUGUGUGGCUGACAAAUAACACUAAAUUCUAUUUCCACUUUCCUUUUUGAUUAAUGGUAACCUAACUAGACUGAACUGAUGGGAAUCCAAUGAUAUUUUAUCUUCCUCUCCAAGGAACCCACAUUUGAAAACAUCAGGUUCCUGGGAGUCUGACCAAAUUGCAAUCUAAGAUCUGUGUCAACACUUUUGUAAUUACUUUUGUAGAAGAAACUUUGAUAUCUGCUUUUGAUGAUAGAAAUAUUGGAUAGAGUUAGAGUUGAGUUAAAUUUUACUCCUGUGUAUGUACGAUGAUUAAUGUCCAUCACAAUAAUUAAUAACACUUUCUCUUUUAGCUGUAUGGUGAAAUCUAUUCAUUUGUUAGUUUCCGGCCUUAUUCUGAAGGAUUAGUAAAAGAAUUUGUUUCAUUUUAAAGAGAAAAAAAGAUACAGAAUUGCAUAAUAAUAGAAUAUAAACAAUGGUUAAUAUAUUAUGUUUUGUUAUCUUCAAAAUAGUUGCUCAGAUUACAAGAUAUAGGCAUACAAAAUGGACCAAACAAUAUAAGAAUAAACCAUUCUCUUUAAUGAACUAAAAAGCAUUAGUAGUACAACUGUCUUAGCUAUCUGGUGUACGUGUGUAUAUAUAUAUAUUUUUUUUUUUUCCCCUUCCUUCUUUUUUCCUUUCCCCCAUCUUAGUUGUUCUUUCCUUUUGAGCAAUUUCUUUCCCUUUCAUAGUAUUUAUUGUACUUUUUGGAUCUUAUUUAUUCUUUCAACUUCUUACACUAGGGAGACAGUAUGAUGUUUUUACAUGCAUUUCACUUACAAGUAUGGUCUCAAGUUGCAUCCAUUUACUUAUACAAGCCUCCAGUUUGUCCCUCUUUAUAUAUGAGUAGUGCUCCAUUGCAUGAAAACACCACAACUUUCUUAUCCAUUCCUCAAUCGAUGGGCAUUUGGGUUGUUUCUAAGAUUCAGCUAUUACAAAUUGUGCUGCUAUAAACAUGGGUGCACAUAUAUCAAUGUGCUGUGAUGUUUUUAAUUGUGGGAUAAUACCCAGAAGGGGAAUAGCUGGAUCAAAUGGAACCUCUAGUGCUAGUUUUUUGGAGAAUUUCCAUACUGACUUCCACAGUAGUUCUAUCAGUCUGUAUCCCACCACCAGAGGAUGAGUUCCUUUUUCCCCACAGCCCUGCCACCAUUUGUUAUUGGUUGAUUUCUUGAUGAUAGUCAUUCUUUGGGGGGUGAGAGGGAAUCUCAGUGUUUUUUAAUGGAACAAUUCUUUUUUUUUUUGGUACCGGAAUUGAACUCAAUCUUAUGCUUGCCUGGCAGGUACUUAUGCCACUGAGCUAAAUCCCCCGCCCCUCAGUGUUGUUUUAAUUUGCAUUUCUCUAAUGUGAAUGAGAAAAUCUUGACUGAUCUUAUCAGUCAGGAAAACAGAUGGGAUAAUUAAACUGGGUAAUAAAUAGAGUAACAAAUAAGGACAAAGUGUAUGAACCAGGGAUUAGCACAGUAGGUAUCUGGAAGCUAAUAACAGUGGGAGACUAUCAUUGUCUGUGGGCCUGAAGGCAAUGGAGGAAAGCUUUCUAGAACCAGCAGACAGGAAAAGCACAUGAACAGAAUUGUCUGAAAGAAGCUAUGGCCUCUGGUUGAGAGAAACUGGCAGCUAAUAGUUCCUUUAAGCCAGGAAACGGAGCAAUAACUCAACAUCACUGUUCUCGCCUGCCUCUCUAUCUGCAGGGAAGUCCUGGUAACCAAUCAAUGGCCAAAUGGAAACCAGAGACCAGGGAAAUUCACUUACAUAAUCUAUACAAGUCAGCUUAAGGGGCUAGAGAAGUGAAGAGGAAGAUAAAAACUCGAUGUGCAAGGACAAACAAAAUACCUGUCUAUUGCCCAGGGAUCUCUGUUAUGAAAUUGAAGAGUACUAGUAAAAAUUAGAGUAAUUAGUACUCUUAGAAAUCAAAGUUAAAGAACUGAUCAUUAAUUUAAGGUGCCAUGCCAUAGAUAAGAUUCUUCUUAAUCAUAAAAAUAUAAGCACUUGAGUUCUUUGUUCCACUGUGAUAUUAAAGAACCACAUGGGCCAUUUCAUUUAGAUUAGUUAAAAUUAAAUAAGGUUUCGGAUCCAUUUUCUCAGUGCCCAUGCAUGUCCUAUGGCUAGUCACUGCUGGUUUAGGAAGCAAAUGUAGAAGACAUUUCUUCACUACAGAUAGUUCUGUUGGAUACUACUAUUCUAGUGAUUUAAUUGUUAAUUGCUUAAUUUUUCUUUGCUUUGACUCAAUAUGAAAGUAAGAUGACCAUUGGGAUUAUUUAUUAUUCCCCCAAAUUUAGUUCUUCCAAAUAUUAUACAAAUACACACAUUAAAAUAUCUUAUUGUGGGUAAAUUAGAGUUUAGUUCCUGCAAAUAAAAGAUCUGGUAACUUGAGCAAAAAUGAAGAAAAAUUGAAAACAGUUGAUAAAGCCUUGAUUUUAGUCUAGUGAAUCUGAUUUUAGACAUUUGGUCUCCAAAAACUCUGAAAAAUUUUAUGCUUUAAGCUUUAAAAUUGUACUAACUUAUGUAGCAAGAAUAGAAAACUGAUAUAGUAUUUCAAUGAUUUGUAUUCCUCCAAAAUUCAACCCUAUAUGACAAAAAUUCUCAGUAGAGAGAAUUUAACUGUAAUUCAGUGUUUUUUCCUUUGGAAGUGAUACUAUAAGAUUGAUACAAAGGUUCAAAAAGUUCCUACUGUCUUACAAAAAACGUAAACUAUAUUAACUACUUUCCCAAAAGGAGAUAGCCCAAAAUUAUGAUUAGUUCCUGCGUCUUGCUCCAGAUGUGGAAAAUCUAGGCAAUGUUUAUCACUCACAUCACUUUCUUAUGAUCAAUUGAAUUCUGAUGCUACCCACAUUAUGGCCUAAAUGGCAAGGUUAAUCAAUCACCUUUGCUAAACACUGUUUACAAUAUUUGAUGUAGGACUCAAAAAGGAGCAUGGAAGUUGCUAACAGAGGAAUGACUUAGUAAUGAAGAGGAUGUGAGUGAGGAUUAACUUUUUGUUCCUUGCACUUAUAAUUUUUUUAUUUUUGAAACUGGGAACCAAACUCUGUACCUCGACCUUGCCAGGGAGGCGCUGUGCCACUGAGCUAUAUCCCCACCCCUUACAUUUAUAAUAGCUUCUAUACUUCUAACUUCAGAUCUCUUGGCAGGAGUGGAUUUCCCAGUGAUGUACUUCAAACAUUCUCUCUUUGAAUAUCUGAAACUCUGGUGGUUCUUGGUUUUUACCACUGAGCUUGGUUGUAAAAGUUGCCCCUGGGAAUUAGCUGGGUUCCAGCCAUUUUCCUUGAUCCUAUUUAGUAGCAGUAGCCACUUCAGGAUCAUGAUCACAACUGAAGCACUCCUUUUGCGAGUGCUGUGAGGAUCCCUAGUGAUCAUCUAGCAGUCUUAGCUUUCAUGUCAGUGGUUGAUUGGUUCUCUGCUUGGGAAAUUCCUUCCUUGUACAGGAAUUUGCUCUUUUCCAUGGUAAAAAGUCCUAAGAAGCUAAGGUAUUUGGGCCUGGGAGAUCAAAUGCUUAGGGGAUGGAUAAUUUUGUGUGAUAGAAAACUGCACUAAAGUUGAAUUUCAAAAAGAAAUGGAAUAUUUUGAGUACUGAGUGAUGUGAUCAGUUUUGCAUUUAGAAAACAGUACUGUCGUAGAAACAGUCUUAGAAACAGUGCUUUGUAGUUAGAAAACAGUAAAUAUAUUUUCUUUCUUCCAAGAGAGGUUGUAUGGGACAGGUGAGUUUCUUUUCUGCUCCAUUGUAAGCACCAGAGAUUACAUCUCACUUGCCCUUACAGAGUGAGAAGGGUCAGGGCCAGUUUAUUAGAUUAUUGCUCCUUGAGGAGCCCUGAGAUCUUGCUUCUCUACCUUCUGAGCCAAUGUCACAGUGAAAUCUCAAGGUAUCAUAUCUUCCCCAUCAAUCUUUAGGCAAAAAGUUAGCUUUGUAUGUACUAGUAUUUCCAUGUCACUUUACUUUUGAGGCAGUGUUGUGCUAGCUCAGUGCUGCAUUAAAAACCAACUUGGCUGGGGUGUAGCUCAGUGGUAGAGCACUGGCCUAACAAGUGCGAGGUGUGAGUUGACCCUCAGCACAAUGACAAACAAAAACCAAACCAAGCAAAAACAACUCAUGCUCAAAUCCAAAGCAACAACAACAGAGCAAAAACGCAAAGGUAAAAUGAACUUAAGAGAUGUGCCUGACGUCUAUUUGAUUCAAAAGUGUUGCUUAGGGUGUGUAUUCUGCCACUCUCAAGUAUAGAAGUCCUUCCAUCUUUAAAAAUAUAGACUCAGAGUGAACAUGGCACUCUUAAGAUCACACAAUUCUUUUGAACAGCCACCUAAGCUUUGUAGAUACUAAUUUUAAGACAAGACCAAAGUCAGGCUUUCUAACAAUGCCUGGCACCUUGCUAUUUCUUCUAUACUUAAAAGGGAUCAAUGACUUAAUAAAAGAUGAUUUGAUUAUGAGAAAUAGUCUGUUAAAAUAUGCUAAGCUGAAAGGAAGAUUUGGGCCACAGAAUGGAAAGAUAGGAGGUAGCAUCUGACCUCAGCAGGGUUGACAGGGGAGCUGUGAAAUCACCCAAACCCAAGGCCACUUCCAUUUGCUUCAUUCUCUUAUUUUUUCCUAUCAACUGGACUUUUUCUUCUCAUCUUGUAGAAGAUGAAAAAAUGAUAAUUUCCUGUAAAAUAUCUCACAACUCAAAUGGUCAACAAUGUGUUUGGAGUUGGUGCCUUCCAUUCUCUGAGUCCCAGUGUUCUUUUCUUGCAUGAACUAAAAGACGUUUUAGAGGAUAAAUGAAAUAGAAAUUCGGAAGUACAAGAUUGAGUGCCAAUCGUGGAUCAAAGUUUUUGAGGACAUGUUGGAAACUGUAGAAUCAGAGUGUUCCUGAUCUGGGAGAGAGUAUUAAUGUGGAUGGAACACCAGAGAUAAACCGAGUCUUCAAGGAAUCCUGGGUAAGGCACUAAAAUCAGAGAAAAGCACCAACAGCAGCAGCAGCACCAACAACAAAUCAGAGAUCAGAACAGGAUCUAGAUUAAUAUCAGGGUGUUUAGUUAGAAGGUUCACUUAGGAAAAGCGAGCGAGGCUCACUGGUUUUCUUCUCAUCUGUUUUCACCUUCCUCUCUCCCAUUUAUUACACUGUAUUUGUCCUCUAAGAAAAAUCUCAAGGACCUCAUCUAAAGAAAAUUAUUGAUCUGCUUUGGCCUGGCCCUUGGUAACACUAUGGAAUCCACAGAAAGAGGGAAGAAAUCCUUCGAGAGACAGAGGGCCCCGGGGAGCAGGAACUCUGCAGUAAGUCCUUCCCUAGGGAAGCUCUGCACACUGAGGUCCUUCUGUGAGUUUCUUCGCCCGCAGCUCAGCUCUCUGUCUGCUCACAUGGUGGGAAACCUGUACUGUGACUCCUGCUUCUUCCAGUACCCGAGACUCUCAUCAAGGUGCAGAACCUGCUGGAACAAAGGCAAAAGAGAUGGAGGAAGAGAACAUGGUGACAACAUUGACAUGUAUGAACCAUGUAUGAACGAUAGGCAUUCAGGGGCCCGCACGCAAGUAGGGGUAAUUUAGGGUGCUGAAAUAGAAAAAAUAGAUAUCUUGCUAAUAUCUUGAAACUUACUAUGUUUUCAUAAAAUAGAAACAAGGACAAUGGAAAUGGAAUGAUUUGCAAGCAACAAAGGAGUCACUCUAUUAAAACAAAUCUGUUGUACUGAAGGGUUAAAUGCGCAUGGUGAGGCUGAGCUGUGCUCAGGUCAAGAGUAUCUGCUACAGCAAAAGGAAACAACAGAACAGAGGAUUGAGAAUGGCACUGAGAUCUAACAUAUGAAUGGCAGACAUUUCAGAAAAGGGAUAAUGGGAGGAGAAUUAAAAUACUAUUAAGAAUAUUUCUUUGAAGAAAUAAAGAUUAGGAGGGAAAUCUCAAGGAAGAUCUAGGUGGGAAAAACUAUGAAACAUUUUGUGAUUUCUAAUGAAGCAGAACAUCAUGAUAUGUAUGGAAAAAUAGGUAAUCUAUAAGAGAAAUACAAACAAUUAGUCUGAUAAGAAAUUUCUCUAUUCAUAACAACAGACACUUAAAGAAAAUCUUUUUUCUUUCUCUCUUUCAGGGUUUCUGGGUAUUGAACAAGCGUUUUUGCACUGAGCUAUAUGCUUAACCCUUUUUUGAAAUUUUUGUGAGACAAAGGUUCACUGAGUUACUAACUUGCCCCGGUUGGGCUUGAGCUUGCAAUUCUCCUGCCUCAGCCUCUUGGAGUUCUGGGAUUACAAAUAUGCACAGCUAGGAACAUCUCUUUCUGAAGUAAAUUUUUGGAAUCUAAUCAAAAUAGAUUGUUGCAAAAACAAAGACAUUGUGUUGUUGCAAAACAAAGACAUUAUUGGACAUGUAAACACCAUACAUUUACCACAUUUCUAUUUGAAAAAAGUUUCUUGAUGAGUGAAAUCCUGUUUUUAGUACUUAUUUCCUGCCCUUUGCAGUGAGAUCUGGCUAUUUAAAUUUCUACAGAGCCUCACUCCUCCAAGCAUUUCUUUUCAUUACAGAGAAGUUAUGUCUUAUUGCUUAAUGUAAAAUCUUUGUAUUUUUCAAUGUCCAUAAACUCCUAAGAAGAAAGCAAGUGAGUAUAUUUUAAUUUUCCUGCCCCCAAGAAUUGUAUGGUGUUUCAUUCCACUCUAUUAUAUCUCAUGAGUGGAUUUUGAUUUUUUUUUUCUGCUGGCUGUGAUUAAGGGAGCAGCAAUACAUUAUGGGUAGUGCAUUUUUGGUAUUUGGGGGUGCAAUUUUUUAAAUGACAAAGUAACAUCGUAUGUGUUUACUAGAUUGAAAUAAAGCAUUAAAAACCAGAAUCAUUUGAGACUAGUUUAAAGCCAAAUCUUUCAAAAGGUCAAAUUUCACUCAUAGGUAUAUUUUUUUUUCCUGGUGCAGGAUGUUAUUUUCAUAACAUCCUGAGCAAAAAUUUAGAAAAUUAUACAUAAACGUUUUGGAUUUUGGCUGCUUUUGGAUAACUGGGAGAUUGUUAACUUUGACUGCCUGAUCCUAUGACAUCAGCCUGGCUUCAGGAGAGACAGUUGUCCCUGCCAGGAGAAGUCUGCAGCACUGGCCACAUUUCUUAUUACUCCCUUCCCUGUACACAGAUGUGCAGCCUGCUUCCUGUCUUGUCACUUUCUCCACCUUGUAAAUGUUUUGUUGUGCAACCCUCAUGGCAAACACUUCCACCCUAGGCAUCCUAAGCGAUAGAAACUUGGAAACUUAUUAUGAGGCUAAGCUUAAUUAAAUUUUUAUGGGAUCGUCUUUGAGAAGGACAAUUUUUUAAAAAUAAUAAUGUACUACAAAAUGAUGCCAGUAGUUAUUUGAGAAAUGUGGGCUGUUUGUUGUUUGGUAUUCCUAACAAUGUUUACGGUGGUUAUGUUUUGACCUAUCUGCUCAAUGACCAACAGAGAGCAGUAUUUUGAGAAAGUCAAUAAGGUUUACUGCUGCUGUUUGUGAUUCAGAGAACACAGUGAAACCAUAGAGUCAUGAAAAUGGAAUGAGACUUAUCAGCUGCCCUAACCACUUGGAUCGAUUAUAUUCUUUUCUCAAUAACAGCAGGCCCUCCUUUUAAUUUUUGCCUCCCUAUUCUUAAGUUUUGCUCUAAAUAAGCUCUGAGCUGUUUGAGACAGGGUUUUUGUAUUCACUGUGCUGUUUGGUGAAAUGCCAUAUGCACACAUGACAUUUUGUAGAUAAUAAAAAACAGCAAUGAUGAUAGGUUGUUGGUAGUAUUUUGUUGAUAUCCCUGCUGGUAACAAUACACAAGGAUAUCACUUGACAUUCUAUUGAGUUAACAGAAACUGUUAUGCUGAUUUUUGCUGCUGUUAAGAGCAGGAAGAAUAUUGAUUUUAAUCAGAAGAAACAGAGAGAAAUUGCUUUGACAUGUGUUUUUACUCGAUCUUUGAGAAUGUCAUGGAAUAAUGAAAAGAAUAAAUAAUAAUCUGUGUGGGGUUCUUUCAGAAGUGCUGUCAGGUAGCUUGAAAAUAGUGACCCAAGGAUAGGAAUUUAGUUUGGAAAUGAAGUGCUUAAUUAGCCAUCACAGUGAAGAAUCUCACAAGAGUAUUAGAGGUUAUUGACUUGAAUAUUAAACAGCCGCGAUUUGAGUUAAACUGUGAUUGACAAUAAGAAAAUAUAGUUUAAUUUGUCCAUCAUUUACUUCUUUAUUUGUUCAUGCAACAAAUGUAUAAAGAACACCUACCGUGUGGUUGGUGUUGUCUUAAGUCCUGUGAGUAUAGCGGAGAACAAAACAAAGUCCUUGUUCCAAAGCAUCUUUUAUUCUCAUAGAUGAAUACAGAUGAUAAAAGUUAUUACAUAAUAUGUCAAAGGACAAUAAGUAUGAUGGAGAGAAAGAUGGAGCAGGGUGAGGGAGAGCAGAAACUGCCAGUGCACACGAUUUCACAGUAAACAUUUUGUGAACUGUAGAUAAGGAAAGCUUUGUUUGAAGACCUAAAGAAAUGAACAGCAAACCAUGAAGGUGUAUAUUUAUUAAAGAGAGUUCCAAGCAGAAGGAAGAGCAAAUUUCCUAAGAAGUGUACUCAGGAGUCAGAAGAGUGCUACGUGGUUGGGAGAGAAGGAGAUGUCAGCAAGAAAGUAGUACGAUUCAGAUCUGAAGAGAUGGGGAGGCCACUCUUUAUAGGACUCCUGGUCACCGAGGGAGGUGGGAAGCCAAUGUGAGGUCAUAUUUUCAUAUGAGGUCAUAUUUUCAAAAAUUUAGUUUGGAUGCUCUAAAAAUAACUGUAAUGGAACCAAAAAGGAAGCAAAUACUGUAGUAGGGUAGUUCACAUCCGGGCUAUGUACGAUAAUCAUUUGCAUCAUCGAUGAGUAUUAGCAAUACAGAAUAUGAAAAUUCACUAGAUUUUUUUCAUAUUUUGGAGUUAGAAGGGGAAGAGUUGGUUGAACUUUUGGACUUUGAAGGAACAGAGUUGGUUGGUUGGUUGUGGUUUGACAGAUAAAUUCAAUAUUUCAUUAUGGGUUAUGUCAAGUUUGAACAUGGAAGAGAUGAGUAUUUAGUCCCAGUGGAAAGGUCACAGCCAGAUGUGUGAAUCUGAGAGUCAUCAGGAUAAAAUUCAGAGCCGUGACAGACAGAAAAUGGGGGGAUAUCACUGAGGGAAAAGUUUCGAUGAGAAAUUUGCAGAACCGAAAUCUAGAAUGUUUGAAGGUUAGUUUGGAAGAAUCAGCAGUGAAGACUCAAAAGAUACGAGGAGACCUGGGGUGGCUUUGAGGGACCCAGGGCAGCAGCUGUUCUGAGGGAGGCUGACACCCGGCUCUGAUGCUCUCGGGCAGUGUGAUGCAGGGAGAAAGGAGCUGAACAGGGUUGGGAUGAAAACCAUCUCGAGAGUUGUUUAGAGAAAUGGAGGAGACAAAGCUCUUGUGUGUUGACCUCAGAAGUAAACAAGAAGGUAAGAAUGGAGACAGAGGCUUCAGUAACUGUUAAGGAGUUUUGCUUUUAACAGGAGAGUGGAACUGCUGAGAUAAUAGCACUAUUGGAAUAAUGUUAUUAAUGGAACAAUGUUGCUGAUAAAUGGUUGGCAGGACGCAUGCCAAGCCUGCUGGGGCAAUGUUGUUCGGGAAAACUUACAAGGGCAGAAAGAAUACCAGAAGCAGGAAUGCCUUUGGGCUGGGGAUGUAGUUCCGUUGUAGGGAGCUUGCCUGGCAUACUCAGGGCUCUGGGUUUGGUGCCCAGCACUGAUGGGAUUAGGCUUGCAGUGGAGAGGAGCAUUAAUUUCCAUUGCCCAUUGCACUUUAGAGCCAUCCACAGAGAUCUAGAAGAACUCUUUGGCGGUAGGGUUUUGCCAGCUCCUCUCCUAAUGUGAUCAGCUCUGCAGGGCUUUGACUCCAGCAUGAUUCCUUUAAUCCCUUCCUUGGCCCCUCGCAGGGCUGGGGUUGAAGCCUCUGGUAUAACGGAAUUGUUUAUGAUAAGUGCUGGUUCCUAGGUUCCGUGGGGACUCCAGAGAUCUCUUCUGAGAGUUCAGCCAAAAAGAGAUUAGUCUUUAGUAAGAGAGGUGGUACAGGAGAAUGCAAGGGCUUUUUUUUUUUUUAAACUCAUAUUCUCUUUUUCCUUUCUCUCUUCUCCAUCUCUUCUCCUCCCCCUCUUCUCCAUCCCUUCCCUGGUCACCUUCUGUCCUUCCUCCUUAACUCUCCCUUGCAUCCAUCCUUCCUUUUCUUUCAUAUUAUGCUUUUAUUUAUGUGGGUGGAAAUAACCUAGAAGAGAGGAAAAGUGACCGAACGUGUGUAGUGAAUAGCUGCUGGAAUGAUUCUCUAGGAGGUGAGAGGGUUAGGAUUCAGCAGAGUGGAGAGGUAAGAUUCCAAGAGAAGGGUAAGAUGGUGUAGCCACAGGGAAGGGGAAAUGACUGAUUUUGUAAGGAUAGAUAUGGUUAUGUUGUAAAUUGAGGUGGUAGACAUUUAAAAAAGAAUUGCUUGUAAUUUCUCAUUAAAAUAUGAACUUGCAUGCAAGUCAAGGAAAGAGACUAGGUGUUGAUGUGAUUAUAAUAAUGUGUGAUAACAACCUUGUUUUUCCAAAGAAAGCAAAUUUCAUUAGCUGUGUGCCCUUAGAAGAGAGGCUGAUUUCUCUUUCUUACUAAGGAUUCAGUCCUUACUAAGGAUUUCUGGUGGGCAGACUUAGAUAAAUCCAUUUAGCUUUUGGCUAAACGUUCAUUUCCACCAACUACCUUGCAUGGGAAAUAAAUCUCAUUCUUAGACUGUUUUGUGAUUUGAGUCACGUUAGAUAAUUCUGUCAACAUAACACUAAAAUGAGGGAAAUGUGGUUACAUAAAAUGUGUAUAGAAGAAUGUGUCCUUAUUAAGCAUACAAAUAUGUUUAAAAUUCACUGACCUUCUUGUGGCUCACAGCAUGACAUCUGAAAUUGUGUCUUCAUUGCCUUCUGAGGGCACGGGAUGACUGACACGUGAUAACCUACUUACAACUGUGGGUCUGAAGCAGGUAUUCACAUCAUUUCAUUUUUUCACAUUUAGAGUUUAGAGACUUGUAUUAAAUUAUAGCCAAAUAAAACAAACUUACUGUACCUGUACUCCCUUGGAUGCAUGAGGAGAUUGGCUGUUCUAGAAAAAUGUGUAAAUGUAAAAAUUGUAAUUAUUUUGUCUAAUUUUUGAAAAGCAAGCAAAUGUCCCAUUUUAAAAUAAAUAAGCAACAUGAUAAGCGGAUCCAUGACUUCUUGAUCUUUAAUACAGUGGCCCAGUUACAUUGCAUUAAUUGGCUUUUAUAGACUCUUCCAAUUAUAUAAUUCUAUGGUUUCUAAAAAAAAGAUAGUUUUAAGAGUUAAGCCAUCAGCAGUUGAGUUUAUAACCUAGAUGAUGCCAUACACCAGUUUUCCAGCAUCUCUCUCAUUUUUUCCUCUGCAAUGGCAUUUAUUUAGUUUUUUGAGGGAUGACUAACCCUUUUCAUGCACUCUGAACCGUGCACGGAUCUAAUUUGCAUGUUGAAUUUAUGUUGUUAGGUAUAUUUGCUUGAUUAAGUGGUACUAUUAUGAGGACCCAAGUGCCAUGUUUAACUGAAAAUCAAGAUGCUGAAAAUUAACAAAGGAAUAAGGAAUAAAGAACAGUGUGGCAGCUUUCCGGCUUGCCAGAGUGAUAAGAAGAAGCCGAAUCCUGGAGAAGCUUGUAAAGUGUGGCCCUGGGUGAAGGUAUCAUACAUAAACUGCGUGCAAUGUGUAUUCUUCAGUGUGAGUUGUGAGACACUGACAUACACGUUCUAGAAAGUGACACAGCAUAAUGUAAAAACAUAACUUGGAGGUUUUAUUAGGCAAACUAACUUUGUUUUUUGUUGCUGACUGCAGAUUCACAAAAGACAAUACCUACUGAGAAUAUGGCCCUUGAAUCUGCAGCAUAACCUGUUGUAUGUGGCUCUGUAUAUACAUCCUUGAAAUCUAUGUUGAAAUCAGAAGACACAUUGGAAGCUUCUGGAAAUCAAGAGCUCUGUUCGAACGUGCUUCUCAGCUGUGUUACUGCUUUACGUUUUGCCUGCCACUUUUCCUCCCUCCCUCUCUAGCUUGCAGAGUUCUAUGCAUAGAUUGUGUUUAUAUAAUUCUACAGUUAAGAGAAAACUAUGAUUCGUUAUUUCAUUUUUAACAUUUUACUUUUAUGUUAAAAACUUACAAGCUCUGUAAAGGUGAGAGCUAUGAUACUACUUUGUGAAUUUUAAUAGUCUUCUUUGUGAUUGACAAGAGCAGAAUUGUAACCAACAUUUUAAUGACUUCUCUGCCACUUCUGAAGUGUACUUCACAUUCUCUUCCUAUGAGUGAAAUCGUGCUAGUUUUCUGGAAUUCAGUGAAAUCAGUACUUCUGCAGGAAAGCUCUCCUAAUCACCACCCUGCAGGCUCCCUGUUCCUAAAUUAGUUGCUCUGUCCUUGGAUAUUUCAUAACAAUUUGAUUAUACCACUUACAACAACUCCAUAAAGCAGAGUGACCCUUCCCUAAUUGGGCUGAGGGUACUUUUUCUGACCUAGGGCUUAACCUUUCACUCUCAGAUGUGUUCCAGGUUAGAGAGUGGGUAACAUGUGCGUUCUGUCUUGAAGGGACUUAUCGACUCAGGUACUGAAAACUCAUAAAGUUAUUCAGUCAGUGUCUAUCGAUGAAUUUAAAUUGCAUUUAUUGUUUGUUGGCUGUAGGGACUGUUCAAGGUCUGAUAGAGGACUUUGGGUAUUUGAGAGGAAUAUUGUUAUUACUUAUAGUUAUUAUUUAUGCAUGUUAAUAUUCAAAGACAGUCUAACUGGGGAAGCAGAAGGUAACAGUCCCUCUAAAGAAGGAGGAGAUAACCUGGCCCAGAUGCUGAGAAACUUGCUGGAAAGUAGUUAGGUUAUGUAACUGGUUUCUAAAUGCUGACCCAGAGGAAUGUGUAAAGGGAAGCAAAUAUCCUUAAAAAUAUUAUUUCAUGGCAAAAAGAAAAAAAGAAAAAAUGAAAGAGAAAGCAAGCCUUGGUAUUGAGUUAAAAGUAAAUAUUUAUUGGAAUUUUGUUUUAAUAGGAUUGUGGCUAACAGGAGACUAUCAUCCACUGCUGAACGGAUGCUAAGGAAAAUGAUAUUUCCUUAGCGAAAGGAAUCGAGAGCCCUGACAUUCUCCACACACUGCUAAGAAAAUGGGCUGAAGGCUGCCGGGUGGUGCACACCCGCCGUCCCUGCAACCCCAGAGGCCAAGCAGAUCUGCUGGAGCCUCUGAUUCAUUUUCCAUGGGAUGUGAUUGUUCUGAAAUUCCAAUUUCUCUCACGAUUCUCUUCAAAUCGUCAAAGUAAACUGAUUUCCCAUCUUUCAUGUCAAUAAAAAAUGAAAGCUUGACUUCCAGAGUUUUGGAACGCCUUAAAAUUCAGCUCUCUCAAUGAGUGUCCAGUAGUGAUGAACUGAAUCUGCCACUAGAUGUCACCGAGUUUUCAAACAAAUGGCUUUAAAGAACAUUUCAAGGAAAGUUGGCUUGAGACCUAAGAUGUCUGUGCUGUUUUCCGUGGCAUCCAUAGAGUAGGUAGCUCUGGGUGACCCGAGAAAUUGCCCUGGGAUUCAGCCUUUAGAGCUGGGAAACACUUCAGCAGGUAAGAGCUGGAACCAGGAGGUACCUAGAUCGGCUAAAAAACAGUGACAACCAUAAAAGCAACAACAGCAACACCGCGACCACUGCCACCACCACAUGAAGACAGAGACGGGGAAGAGGAAGAGAGGGAAAGUCUAAAAGGAUGAGAAAGCAGCUCCCCAAAUCUGAGUAUUUCCAAUCAGACUUACAAGUUCCAAAACUGACCACCAGCCAAACGACUAACAAGGCAGGAAAACGGGUUUUAUAGGAGCAUUUGCUAACUAACCUGGCAUGAAGUUUCACUUGAGUAACCUGAAGAAGUUCUAAAGGUCUGCGGAGUGACAUUUUAACUACACUUUACUAGAAAAAUGUGUUGUCAACUUAAAAUAUUUUGUGGGUAAAUUUCAUGUUACAUAAUUUUAUAAAUAUAUGAUAUAAUUAAAAUAAACAGCAUUAUUAGAGGAACUUACCCCAUCUCUAGUACAAAAGUUGACAUUUAUACUUUGUAAAAUUUUUUUAACCUUUUCAACACAAUCAACAUGGGAAGUAUGUACAGAUGAGUGGCUAAUUUAUACUCCUCAAAAGCAGGGUUUUGAGAUACAGUAAAGGAAAAUACUGCUUUUAAAGAUUUAAGGGGCUGGGGAUUUAGCUCAGCAGCAUAAGCACCUGCCUUGCAAGCAGGUGGUCGUGAGUUCGAUCCCCGGUACCGAAAAAAAGGAAAAAGACAAAAAAAAAAAAAAAAAAAAAAAAGAUUUAGUGUAAAGGUACGGUUAUAUGGUUGUCUUUCCUGGGAUCAAGUAAUUUAAGGGUAAGGAUGUUGGAAGGGACUGACCUGUAGAUGACUCAGAGUGAUGUGGGCAGAGGAGAUAUUCACAGUUCUGUGAUUUUACAGUGGGGGUUGGGUUCUGUGGAAAACCAAUCAGAACAUCUGUGAAAGGUGCACACUUCUCUCGCCUGCAGUGUGUCCAGGCUUCUGUAUCAGUCGUUCACAUCUGUGUCUUGCCUAAGAUUGAAUGCUUUUAAUUUCUUGAGCAUAUCGACCACAAAUACUCUGAGAACUUGAUGACACGCUCGUCAAUGGCCUAUAGUCUCAAAUUGAAAACUGUGCUGGUCUGGUAUGCUGUGUAAGAAAUUUCCAUCUCUCUAGUAUUAUCAAAACCCUGACAUGCUUUGGAAAAUUGUUAAAAUUAACUAUGACAUUUGCUUUCGUAUACACAUUGCCUUAUAAUUUACAAUGUACUUGCCGUGCUGAAAGAUUGAUUUCAGAUAGGUCUGGCUUGUCUGACUCGUGAAAAAAAUUGUCAUUCUGUUUUAUGGAAUAAAGCAAGAUUCCACCAGACACAUUCAGUUAAAAUGAAGUAAAAACUGCAGAGUUUGAGAAUGGUAAUGCCUUGUGUUAUCUGGAUUUAUUGAUCAAAAUAAAAUCAGUGUUCCAUUUCAAAUCUGCCUGCAGCUGCAUAUACUUUUCAACAGUCUCAAUUUUUUGAAAGCGUUACACUAUACCCCCCAUCUCUUUUGAGCAUAAAAAAAAAAAAAAAACUUGUAGAAUUUCAUACUAACAGGGAGAUUAUUAAGUUGGUUUCUAUAAAGAAAGAGAGCCAAUAAAUGAAAAAUUAAUGAAGAGGGGAACUAGAGGGGUAAGCCUUAGCACCUUAAAUUACAAAGAAGUUUCCAUUUAACUCAACAGGUUAGAUUUGAAUAAAGACUAAUCUUACAAUAAAAAUUAUAGCCUGAGAGACUAUGGAAUGUUUGCUUUCAUAUAGGCUCUUAAAACCUUCCCCUUUGUGAAAAAUUAUGUAACUAUUGGUUUUAAACUCAAUUAAAUAAGAAUAAUCAAGGGAAGAAAAAUCAAUGGCACCUAUUCAAGUUACUGAUUGCUGCAAACUAUGUUAAAGUGCAGUGACUAAAACAAAAAAUAUUAUUUUGUCUCAAAAUUGUAUGGGUCAGGGAUCAGGUUUGGUUGGAUGAUUCUUCUGAUUCUCCUGAUGUUGACUGAAAUGAUUUAGGGGUGCUCAGCUGGCAAAUGGCCUUGUCUGGGGUUUCCCACAGAAUUUUACUUGCAUUUCUGCAGUCCUGGUACACGCAGUUGGCAGUCUGGGUGCACGGGGUUUCCACUUUUAUUAAGAAUAAUUACAAAGAAUUUUCAGUAGUCUUUAGCCCAGCAAAAAUGAUGUCAGUGUGAGUCCUUCAAGAAGCCACGUUGCAAUUUGUUGUGUAAGAGUUUUAGCAAGUGGAGGCACCCGUGGAGGAUAAAGAGCCAGGGAGCAGGAGUAGCUGGAGGGCUCUCCCACACUGUGUGGGUCUGACACCCAUCAAAGAGAGAAAGGGAGACUGGGCAGGAAACAAUUCAAAUUUCCACGGGAUCUUGGCAGUCACAGCCCUGAGCAGUAGAGGAGUCCUGUGGCAGGAGGAACUGGGAUCAAUGUCACACUCUGCCAUGCUAAGUCACUGAAGGAGGUGAUACCAUGGCUUUGCAAAAGGCCACAGCAAGAGCCCUCAAUCGCCCGUCCUCACACCCUGUGUUCCGCUGAACAGCAAUGGAAGUGAGCUGACUCCAAAGCAGGCAAAUUACCCAGGUAAGCACAAGACAGGGGUAGGCAAGAAGACGAGCAAUUAGACACAUGAAUAAGAGAACAGCAAGCUGGGGCUGGGGAUUUAGGCAUAAGCCCCUGCCUUGCAAGCAGCAGUCGUGAGUGAGUUCGAUCCCUGGUACCAAUAAAAAAGAGAAAGACAAAAACAAACAAACAAAAAAAGAAAACAGCAAGCUUUGGGGCGUACUGUAGAGUGAAGGGAGAUCCAUUGUGCUGACUGAAGGGCUUUGAGGUCCUGAGGAAUUAAAUUCAUUUCUUCUUUGACCAAAGAGAGAAGAGCUGGGGCCUGGCUAUGACUGGACUGCUUGCUGUUGUCUUUCUGAAGUUCAUCGGCCUGGGCCAAGGUCUGGUGUGGGCUGAGAGCUCUAUGAGGUUGUUUGGGAAACAGUAUGACCAGUCCUUAUGGAAAUAUAAGGAAAAUAAUACCAAAUGCAAAUGAUAAUGCCACGCUAUGAGCCAUUAUUGCAAAAUCUCUAGGGCCAGAACAAUUCUAUUUGACUUAUGAAUUAUUUAUGCCCCAAAGAAAAGUGAAAAUAAAGUUUUUGGGCCCAGAAUGUUAAUAUUCUGCUUUGGUUCUUCAGCUAGACCUGUCCAAAUGACUUCCAGGCCUGGGGUUCCUUUUAUUUUCUGCCUUCAAGGGAAGCAUGUCAGCAGGGACUGAAGUAGAUUGUCCUUUGUUGUCCUCAGUAGGAACAGACCCCUGGUGUCCAAGGUCACAAAGGGAGACAAACAAGAAUUUGUCCUGCAAUGAAAAGUGAUUUCUAUUGAAUUUGGAGAGAGGUAGUCGUUAGGCCAUCAAUCAGGCUCACCUGGGCAGCUGAUUACAAAGGCGAACCCCACGGCUCCAGCCGGGGCAAGUUGGUGCAGGGAGUCUGGGAUAGAACCUGAGGCCCCUUCUAUUUUAAGAAGCUUCACUAGUAAAUAUAUUGCACACUAAAUUUUGAAACUCAUUGCUUUCAAAAUUAGGUAAGAGAAAGGAAGUGGUAUAAGAAUCAUGCUCAAUAUCUGAUUAAUCCAUAAGGUAUUAUUAUAAAUUAACUAUGGUUACAUGUACUUUAUUUUUAAGUGAAUCUGACAAGGAUAUCAAUGCAGUGAGGUCUUUCCUGGGAAUUGGUGACACCUCCAAAAAAUAUAACAUCUUUUCUUUAGGUAGCUCACAGUUUGGUAGAAAAAAUAGGAAAUUACACACAAGAGGCCCAGUGCACUAUGUUUUUCUAUUUACAAGAUAGGAAAAUAUCUAUAGACCUAUAGAUGGAGGUGGUAUUUCCUGGGGUCGUAAAGGACGGUUUACAGAGGAGGUCACCUCGAAAUUCGAAAGAUACCUUCGUAGGCAUUAAAUAGAUUGGGGCAAGAAAAUUAAUCUAGAAAGAAGUGUUGAUUUAUGCAUGGACAGGAAUAUUCGAGUACUUGAAAAUCAUUCAGUUUUGGUGAAAUAUAAGAUAUAAGAGAUGAAUCUGGAGAUGUGGGUAGAAAACAUUAUGAAAGGUCUUGUGUUUCAUGCUAAGUAUCUUAGAUUUUUAUCCGUUAAUUCAGUUGUUUUUGAAGUUGUCCUGGGUCAAGGACAUCUUUAAAAUAAUCUGUCAGAAAUUUCACAUACAUGCCCAACCAACUUUGCAUCUAUUUUAAGGAAAUCACAAUUGUAAGAGCCCUACUUUUGGACCUCACACAGCAUGGCCGGGUUUUGUGUUUCAGAUUAAUUGCUCUCCUUAGCAUCAGUUUAACAUUUCCACUGGCUGAGGAAAAGUCAGACUAGAAGCAGGGAAAUGCUUCAAAUUUUAGAGGCAGUGGCAGAAGGAAUGAAAGCAUCAAACAUGAUAUCAGAAUUUGACAUUGCUUAUGUAGCGAAAAUAAGAAAUUGAGCACUUUUGGGUUUCUGACAGUUUUGACUGUAUGUGUCAUAAAAUGGAACAGGACACCGGGGAAGAGUUCUUGGAAGAAGGAGUAGAUGGUUUUGCACAUCUGAGUUCAGUAUGAGAGUGGGUGUUUUGGAAACAGUUUUCACACUGGAUCAGAGAAGGGAUCAGUACGUCAUUGCCCAGCAGAUCUUUACCAUGCCCAUCCUUUCGGGCUGGUAGAGCGCUGCCCUGGGGCCUUGACUCUCCCCUGCAGCUGUGGGCUCUGAGAAGGCGAAACUGAAUAAUCUGCUCCAGCUGUGGGGAUUCUGUUCCCCUCAAAGUGAGCUGAUCAGGAAGUGGCUGUUGAUUCACUUCUAGUCAGUGGUGAUAAAGGGCUAUCGAGGCUCUGCCCGGAGAAAUUCUUAAUGCAUAUAAACAGAACCAAGGAGGUGAAAGUUCCCUUUUCUGCCUUGGGCUAUUGGUGUGCGAGGAUGUGAAGCCUAGGGCAGGUGCAAGCAUCCUGAAUCCAGGCAGUGAGCUCACCAGCAUGCCGAGGAUGGCUCACUGGAAAAAUGGAAAUAAUCUUGGUCUUUGGAUAUUUGAUUAGCUAACUUGCUAAGCUCCUUUCUCCAACUCUUUUAGAAAUAGGAUAUAAUAAAACUUUUUUAUAUACAAUUAAGUUUAUUGGUUCAUUUUAGAUAUACGUAACGAUCAUGUGGAUCAUAGGAAGUUUGUACCUGUACACGACAUAUUUUGAUUUCUCCAUUUGUCUCAAUACCCUCUCCUCCCCGCAACCCAUCUUCUUCCCUUCCCUAUUUACAAAGCUUUGUUUCCAUUUUAUCCUUCUCAGAGUCCACAGAGCCUUUCUUUUCUUUCUCAUUUCCCGUAUCCUUUUCUUCUUUCCUUUUGAACAAUUUUUUCUCAUUUCGCAGUAUCCAUUGUACAUUUUUGUCCUUAUUUACUCUUUUAGUUUCUGACAGCAGGGAGAUAGUAUGAUGUUACACAUGUGAUUCUGAUUUAUUUCAGUUUAGAGUAUGGUCUCAAAUUGCAUUCAUUUUCCUAGAAAUGACUUGAAUUUAUCCUUCUUUAUGGCCAAAUAGUGCUUCAAUGUAUUAAAAACCCCACAUCUUCUUUAUCCAUUUCUCAGCUGAUGAACAUUUAGGUUGUUUCCAAGAUUUAGCUAUAAAACUGUACUGCUAUAAACAUGGGUAUGCAUGUAUCACUGUGCUGUGAUGUUUUUAAGUCUUGUAGGAAGAUACUUAGAAGGGGAAUAGCUGGGUCAAAUGGGACUUCUAAUCCUAGUUUUUUGAGUAAUCUCCACAGUGAUUUCCACAGAGGUUGCACCAGUCUACACUCUCAGCAACAGUGGAGAAGAGUCCCUUCUUCUGCACAGCCCAUCCAGCAUUUGUUGCUGGUUGCUUUCUUGAUGAUAGCUCUGCUUUCUGAGGUGACAUGGAAGCUCAGCAUUGUUUCAAUUUGCAUCUCUCCAAAAACCAAUGACAAACAUUUUUUCAUGUAUUCAUUUGCCAUUUGUACUUACAUAUCUGAGAAGUGUGCAUUCAUCUCAGAUACUCAUUUUUGGGUUGGGCCUUUAAAUUUGGAGGAGGUGUCUGAGUUUUUUCAGUUCUUGUUAUGUUCUAGAUAUAAGUCCUUUGUCUGAAGACAGCUGAACAAAUUUUCCCCCACUCUGUGGGUUGUCAUUCUGUUGGUGGCUUCUUUCAUUGUUCUAAAGCUUUUUAAUAGGGUGAGAUCUCGGUUAUGAAUUCUUUAUAUUAUUUCCUAUGUGAUUGGGGUUUUCUUCAUGAAAUCUUUGCCUACCCCUCUGUCUUCAAGAGUUCGGCAUAUUUUCUCUUCUAGCAGACUUAAUGUUUCUGUUUUCAUAUUUAGGUCUUUGAUUCAUUUUGAUUUUAGUUUAGAGCAUGCUGACAGAGAAGGGUCUAGAUCAGUUUUCGGCCUGUGGAAAGCCAUACCUCACAGGACUAAAGAAAGUAUUCCUAAAAUCCAUUUGGAACCAUAAAAGACUAGAAUAGAAAGCACAGUUCUUGGCAACAAAGGCAAGGCAGGGGGCAUUAUAAUUUCUGACUUGAGAUUAUACUACAAAGCUACUGUGAUAAAAACAACAUGGUACUGGUAAAAAAGCAGACCUGCGGAUCAAUAGAACAGAUCAGAAGAUGCAGAAAGAACUCUAAACACUCAGUCACCUUAUCUUUGACAAAAGAGCCAAACACAUUUACUGCAAGAAAGAUAAAAUUCUUAUUUCUAAGUAAUUCUUUGUUGGCUUUUCUGCUACGUAUAAUCAAUUCAUAUGAAAUUUUGGAUUUGGGCUCACUUGCUGUGUCCAUCUAGCUACCUACUGUGUCCAUUUAAAAAUCACCUUAACCAGUUUUAAGUGUAUAGUUGAAUGAUGUUAACUAUGCACACAUUGCUGUGAGACAGACCCUCAGGACAUUUUAUCUUGCAAAUCUGAAUCUUUAUACCUGUUAAACAAAAACUCUUUUUUCCCUCUCUCCAUAAUUUCUGGCAACCACCAAAGCUUUUAUUAAUGAAUAAGCAGUAAUUUAAAUCAUGAGAGAGGAUAAUAGCCCUGCCCAGAGAAAACGUAAUAUUAGGAGUACAUAUUUUAGGAGUAAGCAGAAGGAGCUAGAGAAAGAUUGGAAAUAGAGAACUGGUAAAAUAAAAUAAAAGAUCCUAACACUGACUUGGGAGUAGGUUUGGGCAAGAAGUGACCGCCAUGCUGAGCGCGUUGCAGAAAUGAAAGUCUGUUCUAAUGAGGCCAAAGCAACUCAAGAGUAUUUUGAUGCUCGCGCGGUAAGAGGCUGACCAGUUUCAGUGGAGAAAGGAAGGUUACAGGCUGGAGCUGCAGAGCGAGUAUGGCAGGGCUCACAGCCGAAGACAGAGCCACACAGUGAUUCCCGUUUCUCUAAACCAAGAUGGAGUCCAGCCGCACCCCUCUAGCACCCCACUAGUAUUUCCCACGUUUUGCUCUGUGCAGUGGAGAGAGCACUUCCCAGUGUUUGAACAGACAGAAUCCUGAGCUUCAGAGCCAUUUGUUUUCCUCCAGCUGCCUAAAUGAGCACGCGGGCUCCAGGGCAGCUUAGUGCCAGCUCGUGCUCAGCUUUGUGAGCUCUGUAAUUGUACUUUGUUUUACACGUAUAAGCAGGCCUAGGAAGAAGUAUUAUUUCUUUAAAGCAGUUUCAUUUGCCAUGCAGAGAGCUCUCAUUUCAGUACUGUACUAUCUUUAGGAAUGUGGGCCAUGGGAGGCACACUUGGUCCUUUCUUACCCUGUUAGUGUUUGCACAACAGUCUCAAGGGCUUUCGGCUCAAAGCGGCUUACUUAUUUAUUUUCCUAUGUCAUUUUAGGUGGAAAUACAUUAGUGUUUUGCAGCAACAAAGUUCACGUUUCCCUUCAAUUUUUCCUGUGUAUCUAUGAAAACGUAUACUUGACCAAAAGGUUGCAAUCUGUUUAAUUAUAACCCAACUUGCUGAGAUGCCAGGUUUGUGGACUAAUGCUGGUCAUCCCUGAACCUCUAGAAAGUUAGGGAUUUAUAGUAGAUUCCUGGAUAUCCUCAGGGCUAACUUCACACAUAAGCAGGUUGUGAAAUUCCUAGGUUAGGUCAGAGAAAUUAUUAUCGUCUGAGGAGCCAAGUGGUAAGGAUGAUCUUAUAUACUACAGAAUACACAUAUUUGGAUCAUGAAAAUGUACCCGUUCCUAGAAAUUAUGUCAAAAGGAAACUUAAAUGAUUGCGAACAUCUCCUUUAGCCAUCUCAUUCAUAAUGAAUAAGUCAAGUAUUUACCAUAUAUAAGACUGAUGCAGUGUCUGUUUAAUGGGGUUCUGUGUAAAAAAAAAUUUAGAUGUUUUGUGAAGUCAAAAUCUCAUUUUUUUGAAAAUAAAAUAUGCACAUAGGUAUUUUAUGUAAGUAUAGGAAGGAUAUGUAUGUUUUAGUGGCUUUUCUCUGCUGGUAAUGAUCUUCCUUCUAUUCUAAAUCAUUGCUUCUCAGAUCACGUGGAUUGGAGCGAUUUUUCUGAUUACUGAUUAACAUGCACAACAUAAAUCCAGAGACUCAGUAUAUAAAGAUAUCAGAAUACAUUGCAUCAGUAAAAGUUACAAUGUGGGCAUAACCAUCUUUGAAACAGUGUACGAAAAUUGUUUUGAAUAUGGAGAUUGGUUCACGGGCUGAUGUUUUCAGUGAAUAAAAGAAGUCUUGAAGUAACUUGAGGCAGUAAAUAUCAAUUAAAUCCCACAAGGAUAGACAUAUGUUUAGAUGACAAAGGAAAGGUUUUGGAGAACAAACCAUCCCAGGCUUCUGAAUAUUUAAAUAAGGACAUGUCACUAUUCACCAAAAGAGUGUUAAAUGAAGACAGUGACUGUGAAUAAAGCUUCUUUGUAUUCAUGUUACUGUUUUGCAGUCACAGUAUCGUCUGAGCUGUCUGUUUAUUCAUUCCCCAAAUGUCUGAAAUGGAAAAUUGCUUAUUGGCACAGAGUCCCUGUGGGUACUUACAGAACUGAGGAUUUAAUUACCUGCCUGCUUACUUUAUUAUGUAGUGGUCAGCCUGUGAAGCCAGCUCUAACUGAUAAUCACCGAGGAGGAGAACCUGCUGGGUUUUACCCUGAUGAUUUUAAUUAUCAUUGGUUGCUCAGGAAAUGCUAAGUCUCUUUAAUGCUGUUGUUAACUAGAACUUUUGAUCGUGUCAAAGGCAGGGAACGUAAUAAUACAGUGCCAGAAAUGGCCCGAUAGGAGGGAGGGGCUGCACUUACAGAACGGAGAAGGAUAAUUGGACUUACUCUUUUGUUAUUCUUCGCUCAAAAUCCCAAGAUAACCAAUUUAGUCUAGAAUGGCUGUCUCUGGGUAGCAGGAAAUAUUCUCUCCAUUUCUAAUGAUAUAAAGUAUUUUUAAAAAAUGAAACCAAACCAAACCAAAAUAAAAAAUGCCCAUGAAGAGUUUCCGCUCAGUAGACCUGCAGGUUGAUUUCUACCCAUGGGCCACUAAUUUCCAACCUGUUUCAGACCUUUCUCACUAUAUACGAGGAAGUAAUUUAUUUCUUUUCUAAAUUCAUAUAAGAAUUAUUUUCUAUGCGGUCCAUUUGGCAAUUAACCAUAAACAGCCUCAUGCCAUCUUUCCUGUUGUGUCUUGAGCUGCUGUCUAAUUUUUAUGCCUCUGAAAUUUACACUUGUUUUGAACCUCGAAUGGCUAACUCAUUUUAGAUACUGUGUCCCUUAUUUCUUUGUAUUUUCCCCAGUUCCAAAUACAAUGAAACUGUAAUGCAUUUAUGUUGAUUUUGCUUUAUUUUAUAACGAUGCAGAUAUAAUAUUAGUUUAUUUUUUCUACAAGAGAGCUGAAAUGAUACAAAAUGAGCUAUAAUCAAUUCAUAUUCAUAAAAUGAUGUUUAUUUCUCCCUGAAAAUUACCCCAGAGUAUUUUUCAAGGCACAAAUACUUGUAAGAAAACUUAGUAACUGACUCAUGAACAGGUCAUCUGUAGCUCUUUUUCUUCAUCAAAGCUUGAGUAGACAAAGAAGGAGAAAGAGAAGUUCUAUAUUAGAAAUUUUAUAUACUCUUUAAUCGUAACAGGUCUCUAGGUAGGAAUUAUUAUCCCUAGUUUAGAUAUGGGAAUCUGGGGCUUAAGAAGUAACGUACAAGGUCCCAGAGUUCUGUUGGAGACUGGAUUUUAAUUUAUUUUUAUUUAAAGAAAAAAAAAAAACAGAAAAAGGGUAGAAAUAAUACAUAAUUUCAAAAAAAAAUAAACUAAGAAAUCACUGGUUGAUAAUUACAUAUUGUCUUAGAAAUAGUUGUUCAAGUUAUAAAAGUGAAGCAUACAAAGUGGACAUUCAAACAGAGACUGCAAACAGUUCUGUUCAACUAUCCAACAGAAUCUUAGUAAUAUGGUCAUCAAUCCUACACAUUUAAUUUUGUUUUGACUUGUAAAUCUGUUAGUUACGCAACUUCUACCUCACCUGCUCCCUUGAAAACAGAUACUUACUAAAUGCUCAAGUUGAAGGAGCGGUGGGGAGAGGUCAACAGAUCCUGAAGGGGUGAAGCAGCUUUCGUUGGUCCCUAGCAGUUCCUCCUGCCUCUGUGCCCCACUCUGAUUGCUCAGUUUCCCCACUCUCCUUUUGGCUGUGAGAGUCUACUUGGCUGCUUUGGAAGGCAUCUUUCCUUUCCCAGCUCCAGGAGCAACGCCCCAGUUCAGUCUUGCUCCGUGCUAUAACAUUCAGAGAGCGACAUUUAGAAGAUGCCUCUCCUUAGGAAUUUUGAAUGCGAUGGGAGGCAUAAUGGUGGGUAGAGAUUCUUCACUGGGCAUUGUUCAUUUACUUCUCAAGAUGAGGACCAUGUGAGACAAACAGACGAACAAAAGGAUUUGGAAUCAGACAGAAUAGGUUAAGAUUUGAAGGGGUCUAAAUGACUAUAUUAUAACUUGUCACAUGAUAUCUGAAAACUUGCUCUUUUUAACUGAUAGGCUGUGAUUUUUCAAUGUCAAGUUGAAAAAUUCAUUUAAAUAAGCAGCUUAUUUACCAGUGUCAAGGAGAACUGUACUGAGUGCAUUGCGGAGAUGUUCUGCUCACCUCAUUCUAAGGGAACUGUCCUAAGUGGAUGGAAAAGAUUUCCUAAAGCAAUGUUACAAUGACUUAAAGAGAUACCAUGGGCUCAGGUAACUUCAGCGUCCUGGGUCCUCACGUAUAGAAAAUGGAACUCGAGCUUUGUCACUCCUGAAUGGCUAACUGAGCACUUGUUGUAAGCCAAGAAAGACAUUCGAAAUAAAGCAACUGUUCAAAUUUUAA